rnacentral:rRNA from 1 species
AGUGAACGCUGGCGGUAGGCCUAACACAUGCAAGUCGAACGGCAGCACAGUAAGAGCUUGCUCUUACGGGUGGCGAGUGGCGGACGGGUGAGGAAUACAUCGGAAUCUACUUUUUCGUGGGGGAUAACGUAGGGAAACUUACGCUAAUACCGCAUACGACCUACGGGUGAAGGCAGGGGAUCUUCGGACCUUGCGCGAUUGAAUGAGCCGAUGUCGGAUUAGCUAGUUGGCGGGGUAAAGGCCCACCAAGGCGACGAUCCGUAGCUGGUCUGAGAGGAUGAUCAGCCACACUGGAACUGAGACACGGUCCAGACUCCUACGGGAGGCAGCAGUGGGGAAUAUUGGACAAUGGGCGCAAGCCUGAUCCAGCCAUACCGCGUGGGUGAAGAAGGCCUUCGGGUUGUAAAGCCCUUUUGUUGAGAAAGAAAAGCAGCAGGUUAAUACCCCGCUGUUCUGACGGUACCCAAAGAAUAAGCACCGGCUAACUUCGUG